rnacentral:lncRNA from 10 species
CGGGUACCAUUACACCCGGCUAAUUUUUGUACUUUUUGUAGAGACGGGGUUUCACCAUGUUGCCUAGGCUGGUCUUGAACUCCUGGACUCAAGCAGUCCACCUGCCUCAGCCUCCCAAAGUGCUGAGAUUAUAGGUAUGAACCACUGUGCCUGGCCAAGAUUCUUAAAUAAUCCCAAGAGGAGUAUAACAAGUAGGAACUC